CCCUCCCUUCCCCAUGUACCCAUCCAGAUGGUGUUCUGUGACAUCACAGCCCCUCUGCCCAUCCAGGGCUUUGAUUGGCUGUUGACUUGCUGACCAAAGAAAGCCCAAGGGCUUGGCCACCUCAGGGACAGGUAUAUAAGGGGGGGUCAGGCCCACACAGCGCAGACCACUGUGAGGAGCUCCCAGGAGAAGCAGGGCCAGGUAGCCAGCAGGGGGGAGCACAGGACCUAGGACCAGGCUGAGAAAGAAGAGAAGAGCAAUUUCAGUGCCUAAACUGAAGGGAAAGACAGUCUCUUCUGUGGCCUCCCUGUGUGCUUCAAGGUGCACAAGAAGUCAAGCAGGGCCAGGAGACCUGGUCCCUGGACAGGGAAGAUGCCAUCUCCCCAAGCAUCGCGGCCUGCUCCUGGACACCAAAGAUGAAGAAAGCCACAGCAGGGUUUGGUGGUCCUCAGCACCCACAGCGGGAUCAACCCCAGCAGGAUGCGCCAGGGCAGCAGCAGCUCCCUGAGCACUCGGAGAUGUCUAUCCCCAAGCGUGCUAGUCUGGAAACGCUCUACCAGGAGAGGCCAAAAGAGAAGCCCUGCCAAGCUGGGCCUCCACAGGUCAAUCCGAGGCCAUGGAGCCCCAGCCACUUGCAAGGGGAUGCGAGAGUGCCAGGCCAAGAGAGCUGGCCAAGAAACAUCACUGCCAUCUGAGAGAUAGCCAAAGGUCUGCCUGCCUCUGCCUCCACUGGGGUAGACCUGAAACUGUCCACCCACACUUACCCAUGAUGGGGGCAAGAAACUACCUCUUGGGGCCCUG
rnacentral:lncRNA from 1 species